GACGAACGCUGGCGGCGUGCCUAAUACAUGCAAGUCGAGCGCUGAAGGUUGGUACUUGUACCAACUGGAUGAGCAGCGAACGGGUGAGUAACGCGUGGGGAAUCUGCCUUUGAGCGGGGGACAACAUUUGGAAACGAAUGCUAAUACCGCAUAAAAACUUUAAACACAAGUUUUAAGUUUGAAAGAUGCAAUUGCAUCACUCAAAGAUGAUCCCGCGUUGUAUUAGCUAGUUGGUGAGGUAAAGGCUCACCAAGGCGAUGAUACAUAGCCGACCUGAGAGGGUGAUCGGCCACACUGGGACUGGGACACGGCCCAACAUCCUGCGGGAGGCAGCCGUAGGGGAUCUUCGGCAAUGGACGCAGGUCUGACCGAGCGACGACGCGCGAGUGCAGAAGGUUGUCGGGUCGUGAAACUCUGUUGGUAGAGAAGAACGUUGGUGAGAGUGGAACGCUCAUCAAGUGACGGUAACUACCCAGAAAGGGACGGCUAACUACGUG
rnacentral:rRNA from 1 species